UGCUAGGCUGCCUGGAUUGUGGAUCUCCUCCAGUCUGCAGCAAAACUUUCCAGGGGCACAGGCAGCACGGACAGUCCUUCUUGCAACCUCUUUUUGGGGGAAAUCUGCAUUGCUACAGCACAGGAUAACACAGAUUUAAAUUAGAAAAACAGCGGAAAUUGUCAGCGGGUUGGAUUUUCUGCCUUGGGAUCUACUGAAUGGCUCUACAACUGGCAACGAUACCACAACAAAUCCACCAGGAAUAUGCUUGCAAACUCAAACAAAAAAUAAAUGGAAAAUAAGGAAAAAGAACAAAAGAACAAAAAAAUAUAUAUGUAACGACCUUACAAAUAUUGGUUUCACCAAUACAGACCUAUUAUGAAACAAGGUAAUGGUGAUCUGCUGUGUCAUCAAUGGUCAGCAAUCUUUACUAGUCACAAACUGCAUAUUGCUACCAAGAAGGAGAGAAAUUGGCUUCAUGUAGGAUGAAACAGUUGUGUCUGUACGUAAUUAAAUUUUAAACUAUUUCAGUUUCCAGCUGCACAUAAAUAAGAACAAUCAUAACUCUUCUUGUUAUGAUGCAAAAAAAAGAGAACACACAAAUAAAUGUGAAAUUUGAAAGAAAAAAAUUGAGAAUUCAACUUUAAAUGUAAAGUUGCACUUGCUUAUAUUGCGUGUCUCUUUCUCAUUAAUUCUAAUGAAGCCAACAAUGGAUUUACCCUCUACACUGUCAUACACCAGUGAGAGUGAUACCAUCAUAAAGCAGAAUGUGACUGAGGACAUGGAGCUGGUACUUUUGGAGGGAGCUUUGUCUUCCACUCUUGUUUUGAUUGUGGUGCUAACAAUUAUUUUUACCUUGGUGGUGACAUCUCUACUAACUUUUUGCUUCCACAAAUGGAAGCUCAAAGUAAAAAAAUUAGAACGGGCUCAGGAGGAGUACCAAAGAGACCAAGAGAAAGUUGAAUCACCUUGUACUUCUUGACUUCAAGGGCAGUUACAGUUUUAAAAGAGCUGAAUUCAUAGAAUGUACUCAAAAUGAUUGCUUCAGCUGGAAAGUAUCAUUGGACACAUGGACUAAAACUUGAAUAUUGACAGCUUACCCUCCAGCAAAUGGACCACCUAAUUUCUAUCAUGUGCGGAAAGUGAUGUCCUACAGCUGUUUGCCUUUAGACGUUUUUUAUGCAGUCUUUAUUAUAUAAACAUACUGUAUCGGUGGGGGUCAACUAUGGAAUCUGCAGUAUUUUAUUGUGAUGCCUUUUUUAUCUGCAUUGUGUAAAAAAA